rnacentral:rRNA from 1 species
AAUGAACGCUGGCGGCAGGCCUAACACAUGCAAGUCGAACGGGUCCUUCGGGACUAGUGGCGGACGGGUGAGUAACGCGUGGGAACGUACCUUUUGCUUCGGAAUAGCCUCGGGAAACUGGGAGUAAUACCGAAUGUGCCCUACGGGGGAAAGAUUUAUCGGCAAAAGAUCGGCCCGCGUUGGAUUAGGUAGUUGGUGGGGUAAUGGCCUACCAAGCCGACGAUCCAUAGCUGGUUUGAGAGGAUGAUCAGCCACACUGGGACUGAGACACGGCCCAGACUCCUACGGGAGGCAGCAGUGGGGAAUCUUAGACAAUGGGCGCAAGCCUGAUCUAGCCAUGCCGCGUGAUCGAUGAAGGCCUUAGGGUUGUAAAGCUCUUUCAGAUGGGAAGAUAAUGACGGUACCAUCAGAAGAAGCCCCCGGCUAACUCCGUGCCAGCAGCCGCGGUAAU